GGACUACCGGGGUAUCUAAUCCUGUUUGCUCCCCACGCUUUCGCGCCUCAGCGUCAGUAACGGGCCAGUGUGUCGCCUUCGCCACUGGUGUUCUUCCGAAUAUCUACGAAUUUCACCUCUACACUCGGAGUUCCACACACCUCUCCCGUACUCUAGGUGUCCAGUAUCAAAGGCAGUUCCAGAGUUGAGCUCUGGGAUUUGACCUCUGACUUAAACACCCGCCUACGCGCCCUUUACGCCCAGUAAUUCCGAGCAACGCUAGCCCCCUUCGUAUUACCGCGGCUGCUGGCAC
rnacentral:rRNA from 1 species